CGGAGGAUCCAAGCGUUAUCCGGAAUUACUGGGCGUAAAGAGUUGCGUAGGUGGCAUAGUAAGCAGGUAGUGAAAUCGUGUGGCUCAACCAUGCACACAUUACUUGAACUGCUAAGCUAGAGGGCGAGAGAGGUUACUAGAAUUCCUUGUGUAGGAGUGAAAUCCGUAGAUAUAAGGAGGAAUACCGAUGGCGUAGGCAGGUAACUGGCUCGUCCCUGACACUAAGGCACGAAAGCGUGGGUAGCAAACGGGAUU
rnacentral:rRNA from 1 species